GACGAACGCUGGCGGCGUGCCUAAUACAUGCAAGUUGAGCGCUGAAGGUUGGUACUUGUACCGACCGGAUGAGCAGCGAACGGGUGAGUAACGCGUGGGGAAUCUGCCUUUGAGCGGGGGACAACAUUUGGAAACGAAUGCUAAUACCGCAUAAAAACUUUAAACACAAGUUUUAAGUUUGAAAGAUGCAAUUGCAUCACUCAAAGAUGAUCCCGCGUUGUAUUAGCUAGUUGGUGAGGUAAAGGCUCACCAAGGCGAUGAUACAUAGCCGACCUGAGAGGGUGAGCGGCCACAUUGGGACUGAGACACGGCCCAAACUCCUACGGGAGGCAGCAGUAGGGAAUCUUCGGCAAUGGACGAAAGUCUGACCGAGCAACGCCGCGUGAGUGAAGAAGGUUUUCGGAUCGUAAAACUCUGUUGGUAGAGAAGAACGUUGGUGAGAGUGGAAAGCUCAUCAAGUGACGGUAACUACCCAGAAAGGGACGGCUAACUACGUG
rnacentral:rRNA from 1 species